GCUCUGAAGCCCGGCCCAAAUAAAGAUAUUCCUGGUUUCCACUCCUGCUCCCUCCCCUUUCUCUCAGCUUUUCGUCGUCGAUUCACAAUCUCCCUCUUUUCCACGCUAAAUAUUCAUCAAUUUCCAACAUAGGAAUCCAAAGUUUCGCCAAUUUUUAGGGUUUAUCUACAUCCAUAAAUAGAAGGAGAACAAAUUUCUGUCAGAGUGAAGAUAAAUGUCGCAGCUUGGGCGUGGAUAGGCUUAAUCAAGUAGUGGUUACACUGAUGUGUUCCUUUUGAAUUUCACUUAUUCACCGAGUUCUCUGCUUUUUGCUACUUCUAAACGCAUUGGGCUCUUAUUACUUGUACAACCUUUUGAACUCAAUGUUAAUAUUAUCCAAAUGGUCUACAAUAAUUAGUCCUGUUAUGUAUUUUUAUUUUGAAUUCCAUUGGUAGAACUUAGCAUCAUCGGGAUUGGGACUUUGCAGGGGGUUGACAUUGAAAAGGAAGGAGGAAGUGCCUUUAUAGUUUGAUUUCUUGUUUGAGGUGGUUUCAUAUAAUGUUGCUCUGAUGCUGUAUUCGUAGUACCUGAUUGGAAAUGCAAAAGGAUUUUGUAUGAGAGGAUUGAGCUAUAAACUAUGUAUGGAAAAGUGGGUCUUGAUCGUUUCAGGAAAGCCCAGACUUUGGAACCGUUUUCGGUCACUGCAAAUUCUACCAGUAAAUCAGCCACACAACCUGCUCUCAGAGAACCUGCUCAUCCUAAUCAAGUUCAGGGAUCAUAUCCACCGAACCAAUACCUAAACCAUCAGAAUACAGUGAAAAAGACUUUGACGACAGAUGUUGCCCCAGCUAUUAUUCCAACUCAGCAAGUGACUCAGGUUGGAGGUGGGCAGUCGACUUGGCUGCCUCCUGAUUGGGCAAUUGAACCACGUCCUGGUGUUUAUUAUCUUGAAGUUUUAAAGGAUGGGGAGGUUCUUGAUCGGAUUAAUUUGGAUAAGAGGAGGCAUAUAUUUGGGAGACAGUUUCAUGCUUGUGAUUUUGUGCUUGAUCAUCAGUCUGUCUCACGUCAACAUGCAGCUGUCAUUCCACAUAAAAAUGGCAGUAUCUACGUGAUUGAUUUAGGCUCUGCACAUGGUACAUUUGUUGCAAAUGAACGAUUGACCAAAGAUUGCCCUGUUGAGCUAGAGGUUGGGCAGUCGCUGCGGUUUGCUGCUUCUACCAGAACUUAUGUUUUGAGGAAGAAUAAUGCAGCUCUUUUUCCUCCACCACCAGAACCCACGGAGAUUGAUUUGCCACUUCCUCCAGAUCCCUCAGAUGAAGAAGCAGUUUUAGCUUAUAACACGUACAUCAACCGUGCUUUAAAUGGGCUGACAACGCCCAACAGGUUAUCUAAAUCGAUAGAAUCAAGCGAAACUUCUGUUAUGAAGGAUGACAAUCGGCCAAGUGAGAGAGCGUCUAAGAGAAUCAGAAGAACAAGAGUGGCAUUUAAGGAUCAGUUUGGGGGAGAGCUGGUUGAAAUUGUUGGAUUCUCUGAUGGAGCUGAUGUGGAAACAGAACCUGGUCCUAUGGGUGUGAAAGAAGGAAGUCUUGUUGGGAAGUAUGAAUCUCUCGUACAGAUUACAGUAAUACCAAAAGGGAAGGAACAGAACCCUGUAAAGCAAGCCACUGUCUCCCAAACAGGUGUGACAGAGAAACUUAAACAAGUUUUAAACAAGGUCAAGGCUCCUACUAAGAGUGGGGGAAUGUAUGAUGAUCUUUAUGGAGAGGCAUUUUCUGUCAAAGUAGGUUCUUCUUGGGCAUAUGGUUCUGGUGGUAGAGAAGCUUCUCCAAGUAAAAGUGGAGGAAAUACACCUGGCUCUGAAAGUGAAAAGUGUGAAAGUAAUUCGGCCAACAAUGUCAAUGAUAAUGAUGAUGAUCUGUUUGGCUAAGUAAAAUACCUGUUUCUUGAGUAAACAAUGGUUCUCUUCAAAGACCACUAGUUUGAUUCAACAGAAGGUUGUUGAAUGAUCAAGUUCUUGCCACGAAAGGAAUCUACCUGCCUAUUUGCAUUUGCUUUAGCAGCUGCCUCUCUAUUCUUAAUUUUUGUUCUCUCCAACCGGAGGGAGGUCUCCUCUUCAGUCUCUAUAACCCCUCUGUAUUUCCUCUUGACCCUUUUCCUCCUAAUAGUCCUUUUCUUGGCAUUCUCAUUAGCACCCCAAGGUCUGAAAAAUCUCAUGACAGAAUCAAAUACUGUUUCACUGCCACUGCCAAAAACACUGCCAAUUAUACCGGAAGCUGCUUCAUAAGAAUUCAAGUCACCAUAUCUAAUGUAAGUCACUCUACUGCUGCUGCCACUGCCGCUAUCCAAUCCCAAAUUGAAGUUUGUGUGCAGAGUUUGAGAAGCGGCUGGAAAACUUUCAUUGCAUGUUUUCGAAGUUGUUGAAAUCUUCAAGAAUCGCCGUGAAGUGGUCUUGUGUGGUCUGUGACAUGCUAUAUGAAUUCUCUCCACCACUGUUGAUAUACAAAUCAAUAAGAUCUUCAAGUUUCAUAGCACCACUCAAACUUGACUGUGACAUUUUCUCUCGGAAUUCAUUGAAAUCUUGCAACACUUUUUCUAACCGAUCAUUGAGGACUUGUUGAGUUUCUGGGUGAUCGGCAGUGGUUGUGGUAGCCUCCAUGAUGCAGGCUGCCUCUGAUUGCAAUCGAAGUCUUAAAAAAAAUAGGGAGUGUAACAACUUUGUCUUAGCUUUAACACACAAUUGUUGUGUGUCCCGUUUACUCUGUAUAAAAAAUAUGAAUAUUCACACUCCAAUUUGUACUUGUUGAGGGACAAGUCUCUGUAGUCACGUGGUCUGUGUGUAGGAAAAAACUUGCUUUGCGUUCAAAAGUAAAGUCGUGCUUCAAUUAUUUACAACA